UCCCAGUCCUUCCUUCAGCUCGAGGCUCCUUUUUCAUGUCAGCCAAUGCCCCACAUGUUCCAAUAAGCCCUGAGCGGGAAGUUGAAUGUGCUUCCCUUUGCAGCACACAUUUCCACUUCUGUAGGAAGACAAGUAGAGCAAAUUGGGUUACAGCGGAGAAUGACAUUAAGGUAUCAGUGGGACAACAGAAAUGGUUGGGUUUGUGUCAAAAAAGAAGGAAUCUCACAGAUAUUCAAGUUUUCAAGGCCUUUGGGUUCCCACAAAAAUUCUCCCUCAAAUUAACUGGAAGUCUUCAACUAAGAUGGGAAGCAUGAACUACCUAGAAUACUGUUACUGAGGAUGAACUGAGUGCAUUGAAUUACCACUCUGGAACCUCUCCUUUUUCCCAGAGGAAUUGGCUCCAUCCAUUGAACAGAUAAGGAGCCUGGGGCACACAAGAUGGUAAGUUAAUUUUACCUAAGACUUCACUAGGGUAAGAAGUACUAUCAGAGGAUUCAACAAUACUAACUGAUAAUUCUUGGCAAGUAGUUUGGACCACUUUUUCAAGAAUAAAGAUUGUAUUUUGAAGGAUAGAAAGAAAAUG
rnacentral:lncRNA from 12 species